rnacentral:rRNA from 1 species
CACAGUAGGGAAUCUUCCGCAAUGGACGAAAGUCUGACGGAGCAACGCCGCGUGAGUGAAGAAGGUUUUCGGAUCGUAAAACUCUGUUGUUAGGGAAGAACAAGUCAGGUAGUAACUGACCUGACCUUGACGGUACCUAACCAGAAAGCCACGGCUAACUACGUGCCAGCAGCCGCGGUAAUACGUAGGUGGCAAGCGUUGUCCGGAUUUAUUGGGCGUAAAGCGCUCGCAGGCGGUCUUUUAAGUCUGAUGUGAAAGCCCACGGCUUAACCGUGGAGGGUCAUUGGAAACUGGAGGACUUGAGUGCAGAAGAGGAGAGUGGAAUUCCAUGUGUAGCGGUGAAAUGCGUAGAGAUAUGGAGGAACACCAGUGGCGAAGGCGACUCUCUGGUCUGUAACUGACGCUGAGGAGCGAAAGCGUGGGUAGCGAACAGGAUUAGAUACCCUGGUAGUCCACGCCGUAAACGAUGAGUGCUAGGUGUUAGGGGGUUUCCGCCCCUUAGUGCUGAAGUUAACGCAUUAAGCACUCCGCCUGGGAGACCCGA